CCCAUUUAUUUCAACUAUAAUUACGUAGCCGUCCGAUCCAACUCCAACUUCUCAAGAUAUUAUUCUACGAUGGCUGCUAGGACAGACAGGCCGAAGAUAGUCAGGAAGUAUCCAUUUUAUGCUCCCACAGUUGCUGUUCUCGGCGACUCCCAGACUAAGCACCUGUACCACCACUUUGAUUUCAGGUCCCGCUCGACACCAACGAUGUUCGUGUCCCGCAGCGGAGGACGUAUCCUGGACUUCAUCGAGGAGGUGGACCUACUACCGGCCAGCGUUCGCGUCGUUGUCCUACACUGUGGGACUAACGACAUGCCGUUCGUUGAGCCCAAGUUGGCCAUCUCGCACUACCAGACACUUCUCGAAAGGAUCCGUGCCCGUGGAGGCAUUGAAAUGGCGGCGUAGGGAGUUUCAGUGUAACCCACGGGCACACGCCUUCAACCGCCAGCUGGUCCAGCUAUGCAGGAGGUCCCGGGACCUUUUCUACCUCGACCAUGGCUUCUACCGACGACGUCCAACCCAGGUGCUUGCGGCGGAUGGCCUUCACCCAAACUUCGAAGGAGUGCGGAUGAUGAGCCGCCACCUCCAGGACCUGAUCCCACACCUGCUUCGACAACUUCCACCACGCAGAGCUGACGCCCCGGUCAUCCCGGAUCCAGUGUGGCCCACCCCACAAGAGGCAGCCAUGCUGCGACGAAGACACUCCGAACGGACAUCGAGGGCACGUAAACAGGACUGACUAACCGCCGGCAGAUCAAAAUCCCCACUGACCCACAAGGACGAUGACCCCACUCCUGGACCUGACACAAAAACGCUCUGGAAUUUCCCCAAUUGACAACCGCCAGGUGGCGGGAAUUUCCCCCAACCGACCACGUCAUUCUCAAGCCCCUUAUCAGCCUCGUGGCCACAUUUAGCUCUUUUGUCCCGAAGAAGGCGGAGCUUCCGCCGUAACGUAGACAUCCUCCCUAACUUUUAUGAUUUUUAAGUUUUAAUAAACCCUUUUUUUGUUACUUCCCCUA